UACGUAGGGUGCAAGCGUUGUCCGGAAUUACUGGGCGUAAAGGGCUCGUAGGCGGCCAACUAAGUCAGACGUGAAAUCCCUCGGCUUAACCGGGGAACUGCGUCUGAUACUGGAUGGCUUGAGGUUGGGAGAGGGAUGCGGAAUUCCAGGUGUAGCGGUGAAAUGCGUAGAUAUCUGGAGGAACACCGGUGGCGAAGGCGGCAGCCUGGACCAAUUCUGACGCUGAGGAGCGAAAGCCAGGGGAGCAAACGGG
rnacentral:rRNA from 1 species